rnacentral:tRNA from 1 species
GCUCGGAUGGUGGAAUCGGUAGACACGAGGGACUUAAAAUCCCUUGGCUAUUGCAGCUGUGUGGGUUCAAGUCCCACUCCGAGUACCA